rnacentral:rRNA from 1 species
AGAGUUUGAUCAUGGCUCAGGAUGAACGCUGGCGGCGUGCUAACACAUGCAAGUCGAGCGAUUCUCUUCGGAGAAGAGCGGCGGACGGGUGAGUAACGCGUGGGUAACCUGCCCUGUACACACGGAUAACAUACCGAAAGGUAUGCUAAUACGAGAUAAUAUGCUUUUAUCGCAUGGUAGAAGUAUCAAAGCUCCGGCGGUACAGGAUGGAUCCGCGUCUGAUUAGCUAGUUGGUAAGGUAACGGCUUACCAAGGUGACGAUCAGUAGCCGACCUGAGAGGGUGAUCGGCCACAUUGGAACUGAGACACGGUCCAAACUCCUACGGGAGGCAGCAGUGGGGAAUAUUGCACAAUGGGCGAAAGCCUGAUGCAGCAACGCCGCGUGAGCGAUGAAGGCCUUCGGGUCGUAAAGCUCUGUCCUCAAGGAAGAUAAUGACGGUACUUGAGGAGGAAGCCCCGGCUAACUACGUGCCAGCAGCCGCGGUAAUACGUAGGGGGCUAGCGUUAUCCGGAAUUACUGGGCGUAAAGGGUGCGUAGGUGGUUUCUUAAGUCAGAGGUGAAAGGCUACGGCUCAACCGUAGUAAGCCUUUGAAACUGGGAAACUUGAGUGCAGGAGAGGAGAGUGGAAUUCCUAGUGUAGCGGUGAAAUGCGUAGAUAUUAGGAGGAACACCAGUUGCGAAGGCGGCUCUCUGGACUGUAACUGACACUGAGGCACGAAAGCGUGGGGAGCAAACAGGAUUAGAUACCCUGGUAGU